GUGACGUCACGGCGGUGGGCGGGGCCUCGGCGAGCGCGGGUGUGACAGCAGCAGUGACCGCAGUGACGUCGGCAGCGAGCUCAGUGGCCAGUGACAUCACCAAUGUCACCAGGAACCAGGUGUGACAUCAGCAACCGUGUGUGACAUCAUCAGUGACAUCAUCACUGACGAACAGUGACAUUGCGGUGACACUCCGGUGACAUUGUUGUGACAUUGUGGUGACAUCGCAUUGACGCUGCAGUGACAUUGUGGUGACAUCACGGUGACGUCUCGGUGCCAGGUGCCACCCCGGCCAUGCUGCGCGGUGCCCGGGCGGUGGCCCUGUUCCUGUCCCC